UACGAAGGAGGCGAGCGUUGUUCGGAUUUACUGGGCGUAAAGGGCGCGCAGGCGGCUAUCCAAGUCAGGCGUGAAAGCCCCGGGCUUAACCUGGGAGGUGCGUCUGGGACUGGGUGGCUAGAGUUCGGGAGAGGAGAGUGGAAUUCCCAGUGUAGAGGUGAAAUUCGUAGAUAUUGGGAAGAACACCGGUGGCGAAGGCGGCUCUCUGGACCGAGACUGACGCUGAGGCGCGAAAGCGUGGGGAGCAAACAGG
rnacentral:rRNA from 1 species